AAACUUAAAUGAAUUGACGGGGACCCGCACAAGCAGCGGAGCGUGUGGUUUAAUUCGUUGCUACACGAAGAACCUUACCUGGGUUUGACAUAUAGGUUGUAGGGAACUGAAAGGGACCGACCCUUCGGGGAGCCUAUACAGGUGUUGCAUGGCUGUCGUCAGCUCGUGUCGUGAGAUGUUCGGUUAAGUCCGCUAACGAGCGCAACCCUCGUCGUAUGUUAUAUGUGUCAUACGAGACUGCCGGUAAAAGCCGGAGGAAGGUGAGGAUGAUGUCAAGUCAGCAUGACCUUUAUAUCCAGGGCUACACACACGCUACAAUGGUCUGUACAAUGGGUAGCCAAGCCGCGAGGCGGAGCCAAUCCUGAAAGCAGGCCUCAGCUCAGAUUGCAGUCUGCAACUCGACUGCAUGAAGCCGGAGUUGCUAGUAACCGCAGGUCAGCAAUACUGCGGUGAAUACGUUCCCGGGUCUU
rnacentral:rRNA from 1 species